ACUAGAUUCCCCCGGAAACAAAACAGGGUCGGCGCGCACUUCCUCCGGCGACGCGCCUCGCGGGCGGUCGGGAAACGGCUGGGAACUUUCUGCGGAAAUGGAAGUGGUUGGCAGCGAAUCAGAGGACGAGGAAGGAAGAUUCGCUCCACGGACUUCCGGACGCGGCCCUGCGCGUGGAACUGCCCAGGAAGCACUCAACAAACCUGCACUGAAUGGACGGCUUCAGGCAGAGACCAAGAUUAUUCAGAGCAGAAAGCCUGCUUCAGCCCCGAAUCCAGGGCUUAUCUCCAGAAACCCAGCUGCAUGGAUGGCCCCGGGGCUGCCCGCUCCUUCACAACUGAGUCCUUGGUACCCGCAGGGAAGGGCAGAGCCAGAGACGGGAGCACGACGGAAGCACUCCUCCCACCCCAGCACAGUUCCGCAGAAUGAGGGGUUUGGUGGUGGAAUUCGGGGAGUGUCUUGGAGACGUCUUACUGGGAGCAUGCGUGGGUGGGGUGGAGUGGAGUGGGGAUGGGGGUGGGGCGGCUUCACUCCCCCUCAUCCCUCCCACCCCCCUGCCCAGCUCACCUCUGGCUUCCAGAUCUCUGCCUGCUGGCCAGCCGGCCCCCACGGCCUUUCCAGGGGCCCAGCUGGGAGGGGAGAGCAGGGACAUUCCCAGGGUCAGCGACAGGCCCUGUGGACUCAUUGCCUUUAGGAGGGGAAGGCCGCGGGGAUCCAGGACCCCCCUGGGGCCAUCACAAGCCUUUCGGAGUGACUGCGGGGGCCCAGAAGUUCAGCUUCACGGCCACGUCUAAUGGCUCCCACGCAGACCGGGGCUUCUGGAGUCGGCAGGCCCGGCCUGUGGGUGCCCCUGUCCUCCAGCCCGUCCUGUUGGCCCUGGAGUGGCCGGGGGUUCCUGGCCCUCCCCUGCGCUUUGCUCUCUGUGGGAGGGGGUGCCCUGAACUUGGGCGUCCGCCCCAGCCAGCCGCUCCUCCGGGGGUGCAAGGCUCCGCAGUGGGGAACCCAGGCCUCCUGGUCCACGCGGGGCGAUUCCAGGAGCCUCCACCAGGGGGCGGGGCCUCACCUCUCAGGGUCCCGGGAGGGGCCCUGAGGAACCAGCUUGGCUCCGGGCCCUGCGCCUGGCGCUCCGCAAGCCUCAGACCCUGGGGCGAGCUCAGAGUCUGGCUUCUCUGGCCCUGGGUGAGUCGCUUAACCUCCCUGUGCCUCAGUUUCCUCCCCCGAUGGGACUGAAGCUCAGGGCUUGGCUCACGGGGGGCUCAGUGGAGGCCGGCUGUUUUUGUCCUGUUUCCAGGUAAAGGAGCUGGACCCUGACAUCACAGGACUCCAGCCGGCAAUGCCCCGGGAGUGGCAGGCGGUGGGGUCUGGAGCCCAGGCUCUCGGGCCCCAGAGGCACCGGGAGAUGCUGGGAGCUGCCGCGGGCUGCUGGCCGUGCAGGGAGGUGCAGACUUGUGGGGUUCCUGGUGUUCCCCACAUGCAAAGUCGCCAUCCAAGUGUAGCCUGGACCCCUCUCCCGGCGUUAGUUCUUGCAGAGGUCAAUUUGUCUGUCCUGUGCGGAAUUCCUGCUCAUGACACGUGCGCUUAGAACCACGCGGAGCGGGGUCGCCCCCAUCUGACCGCCAAGCCUUUCGAGGGCACAGUUCUUGCGUUUCUGCAGACCAGGGUCAUCGGCAUUGUUACCAGCUUCCUGUUUCCUCUAAUUUGCAGAGUUGUAAAAUAGCCUUUUUUUUCCCCAAGUAAUUUUAUUGAGGUCGUGAUGGUUUAUGACAUUGUGUAAUUUCAGGUGUAUGUUGUUUAUCAGUUUCUGAAUACACUUCGUUGUGCUCACCCCCAGUUGUCUGAUUUUUGUCCAUCACCAUACUUAUGUGCCCCUUUGUCCCUGUCACCCACCCCCGCUUCCCCUCU